AGCGAACGCUGGCGGCAGGCCUAACACAUGCAAGUCGAACGAACCUUUCGGGGUUAGUGGCGGACGGGUGAGUAACACGUGGGAACGUGCCUUUAGGUUCGGAAUAACUCAGGGAAACUUGUGCUAAUACCGAAUGUGCCCUUCGGGGGAAAGAUUUAUCGCCUUUAGAGCGGCCCGCGUCUGAUUAGCUAGUUGGUUGAGGUAAUGGCUCACCAAGGCGACGAUCAGUAGCUGGUCUGAGAGGAUGAUCAGCCACAUUGGGACUGAGACACGGCCCAAACUCCUACGGGAGGCGGCAGUGGGGAAUCUUGCGCAAUGGGCGAAAGCCUGACGCAGCCAUGCCGCGUGAAUGAAGAAGGUCUUAGGAUUGUAAAAUUCUUUCACCGGGGACGAUAAUGACGGUACCCGGAGAAGAAGCCCCGGCUAACUUCGUG
rnacentral:rRNA from 1 species